ACGUCUUCAGUAAUAGAACACUGUGAGCUGCACAGGGACUGAAGCGCACAAACAUCUCUUUAAGGAGCACUUUAUUUGUGUUUCUACUCGGCCGCUUCUGUCCCUUCCCUCUUGUGCCUCUCCAGCGGUGAUCACAUUUCCAGACAGGACUGAAGUGCACCCCUGCAGUGUUUCUCCUGUGCAUUUCGCUUCCCCUCAUAACCUAACGGCCUUCUGCUGUGGUACAGGAACUGUCUCCAGGAUGCACUGCUCCCAGAAUUCUCCAUGUCAAAUGUGGUCACUUUUGAUGUCAAGGUCUGUUACAUUUAUCUUUGACUGUCUUAAACAUAGAUUGAGUUUUGAAGAAAGAAAAUCAUAGAGGUUUGGAAUGACAUGAAUGAUCAUGAAAGUUUCAUUUUUGGGUGGACUGUCCAUUUAGAAGAAUAGUUUACCCAAAAAUUUUUAUUCUGUCUUCAUGUACACACCCAGGUAAUUUAAAAGCCAUCUGAAUUUAUUGUAUGAAACACACAGGAGAUGGUUGACCCCACUUUUUCCAUGUAAUAAUAGCAUGCAGUGACCCAACACUGUUUGUCCCAAAGCAACACAUAAGUUCUCCAUAUGUCUGAAAAUUUCUCCUGUUUCUAAACUGCGUAUGAGUUAAUAAUGACAGAAAGUUUUUAUUUAUUAAAAUGAAAAAUUGUAACUAAAAUGGAUGAGGUCAUUAUUAAAGGAAAGUGACUGGUUUGAAAGUUAAAAAAAAAAUUCAGAAAGAAGGAGUUGUUUUCAGAGUUCAGAGAUUUCUCUGGCUCUGUUUAUGUGUACUGCACUCUUGCACAUGAACUGUAUUAAUUUAAGCUGUGAAGUUUAAUCGAGCUCAGUCAGGAUUUAUGUAGGGUUUUGCAGGCUGUCUCACUGAGCCUUUACAUAGUAUAUCCGCUAUACAGAUAACACAAGUGUAAUUAGUCAUGACACUAGCGUAACAGUUAAAAAACUGAAGUUCAACAAUAUGCCAAUUAGGCCCUAUUGUUUCCCUGUGUUAUUAUCCUGUGAAGUCAGUCUUAUGCAGAAGCCCUUUCUUAAGUAUUUAGCUGAGAUUUUCUCAGAGAUUUGC
rnacentral:lncRNA from 12 species